GUUUUGGGACCAUUCAAAACAGCAUAGCAAGUUAAA
rnacentral:other from 19 species